AUUGAACGCUGGCGGUAGGCCUAACACAUGCAAGUCGAGCGGUAGAGAGGUGCUUGCAUCUCUUGAGAGCGGCGGACGGGUGAGUAAUGCCUAGGAAUCUGCCUAGUGGUGGGGGAUAACGUUCGGAAACGGACGCUAAUACCGCAUACGUCCUACGGGAGAAAGCGGGGGAUCUUCGGACCUCGCGCCAUUAGAUGAGCCUAGGUCGGAUUAGCUAGUUGGUGAGGUAAUGGCUCACCAAGGCGACGAUCCGUAACUGGUCUGAGAGGAUGAUCAGUCACACUGGAACUGAGACACGGUCCAGACUCCUACGGGAGGCAGCAGUGGGGAAUAUUGGACAAUGGGCGAAAGCCUGAUCCAGCCAUGCCGCGUGUGUGAAGAAGGUCUUCGGAUUGUAAAGCACUUUAAGUUGGGAGGAAGGGUAGUAACCUAAUACGUUGCUACUUUGACGUUACCGACAGAAUAAGCACCGGCUAACUU
rnacentral:rRNA from 1 species